rnacentral:lncRNA from 1 species
AGGAAUGGAAUCACAGAAGUGGCAUCUCAUCAUCUUUGUCAUAUUCUAUUGGUCAGUAGCAAGUCAUAGGUUCUACCAAGGAGUUUUCACUAAUAACAGUGAGAUACACAGAGUAGUGAUCCAAUGAAAAGAAAUGGCCAUGAAACAAAUAUUCAAAAGAAUAAGUACGUCAUACAAACUCUUGCUACAGAAGGAAAGAAUAAAGUGUUCUCAGGACAUGUAAUAGAGGGAGACAUCUGGUAGCAUUGAAGAUAUCCCCGGCAAGGAUGAGAUUUGAACUGAAAUAUGAAAGAAGAGAGAGAGUUUAAUUAAACAGCAUAGAGAAGGGAAAAGUGAAAAAUUCUGAGAGUGAACUGUAUCUUCCAAAGCUCUGUGGUAGGAUAAAAGCAUGGCACAUUUAAGAAAUGGAAGGAAAGCCCGCGUGUCUGAAGGAGAGAAACAGAGGGAGAGGAAGGUCAAGGCACUGGAUAAGGAGAGCAGACCCCAGAGUUGAAGUGUCAUGCGGCCUUGCUGUAGACCUGCGUGCCAACGGUGACAGAGAAGGAAAUAGUGACUGGGUUGCCCAAGAGGUGAUUUACUUUGAAGAGCAUCUGGUUAGGAGGAACUCAUCUCAGUGAGGGAUAAAAGUUGUUUCUAACUGACUGAAAGCAAAUCAUUCAGGAUUUUCUGGUACAAAACAAUAUGAAUUUAUUAGCAGAUCGAUGGUGCAUUAUCCUCCAUGACAGUACUUAACCUACAGAGACCACUGACUGCCUUAUAUGUCUCCCUCACAAAGCUGAGCUCAUGGUACAGAGGGACUGCAUGUUCAUCUCUGGGUGCCCAGCGCUGAGCAGAGUACCUCAUACAAGAGAGACCAUAAAUGUUGCUGAAAGCACAUUGAAUAAACAAGGGCACCAGAACACUAUUUGGAGCACAAAAGUAGUAUUUUAAUCUAAUCUAGGUAAAUGUGGAAGAGAA